CGACCGGCGCACGGGUGCGUAACGCGUAUGCAACCUACCUUCUACAGGGGGAUAGUCAAUAGAAAUGUUGAAUAAUACCCCAUACGAUCAUGAAUUCGCAUGGAUUUAUGAGGAAAGUUCCGGCGGUAGAAGAUGGGCAUGCGUCCUAUUAGUUAGUUGGUAAGGUAACGGCUUACCAAGACAUCGAUAGGUAGGGGUCCUGAGAGGGAGAUCCCCCACACUGGUACUGAGACACGGACCAGACUCCUACGGGAGGCAGCAGUGAGGAAUAUUGGACAAUGGAGGCAACUCUGAUCCAGCCAUGCCGCGUGCAGGAAGACGGCCCUAUGGGUUGUAAACUGCUUUUAUACAGGAAGAAUUGUGCCUACGUGUAGGUAUUUGACGGCACUGUACGAAUAAGGAUCGGCUAACUCCGUGCCAGCAGCCGCGGUAAUACGGAGGAUCCAAGCGUUAUCCGGAAUCAUUGGGUUUAAAGGGUCCGUAGGCGGUCUGAUAAGUCAGAGGUGAAAUCCUGCAGCUCAACUGUAGCAUUGCCUUUGAUACUGUUAGACUUGAGUUAUUGUGAAGUAGUUAGAAUGUGUAGUGUAGCGGUGAAAUGCAUAGAUAUUACACAGAAUACCGAUUGCGAAGGCAGAUUACUAACAAUAUACUGACGCUGAGGGACGAAAGCGUGGG
rnacentral:rRNA from 1 species